rnacentral:lncRNA from 1 species
ACCAUCUGAAAAUCAGGACAGAACUAUUAUAACCCCCAAAUAAAUACAAAUUCUUAAGACCGGCUAUUUAGCUAACUGGUAAUCAGCUAGCCCAUCACAAUCAGUUAUACUGCUACUACAAGUCUUCACACGUUACCCGGUCUACUACCGAGGAGAAGAAGUUGGGACAAGGGGAAUGGAGAACUCCGAGGCCCCGCCACGGCCUCUGACUCUGACGGAAGCUGCACCCGCGAUGAUCUAUUAGUCACCCCGUGCUCAGGACGCUCAGAGCACGAGCUGGGCAUGCCCAUCAGGCCAUGCUCCACACCUUUCUCAAUCACCUGGCAGAGCUCAUCGUCUCUGUUACUAUGGGUGAGCAAGAUGGUUCAGCUGGAGCAAACUGCUUUCAAAUUAUCUGUUGCAAAGUGAAAAAUACUGGUUAAACAUGUGGAUUUAUGAAACUAAUGAUGAUAUGCUUUGGGUUAAAUAAAUGCAAACACGUCUACACGUACUGAUGGUCAAUGAGAAAGUACUCGUACAAAGAGACUACAAAGGAGUACAAGUACAGCUACGCAUACAGUAAAGAUCAUCAAAACUGGAUACAAUACUAUUCAACUAAACCUUCAGUCCCCGAAUCACAACCGGAUUCUGUUCGACAGACCAUGUCCACUGUCCACAUACGCAUCACUCAAGUGACCAGUCAGCCUGCCACUCUAUUCCUCAGUCCUCACGCACUACCGAGUCCCACCCAGAAGGUCCAUGGUAAACACAAAUCCCAGUCCAAGGUCCAUGAAAACAACAGCCACAGAAUCCUUGACCCAAUCUUCUCAUAACGACUACGACUAUAAGGGGCGCUGCCCUAUUCUUCUAAAAAAAACUAUAAGGGGCAAGAAGAUACAAUCUUCUCUGUUCAUCUCGUGUUGUUUCUCCAUAAGACCAUUGAUGCCUUACCUUGCCAGUGCACAACUUAAGGAUCUGGAUUCCAUGCUAGUUUCAUCAUAAUUAAACCAUGCAGUCACUCCAUUUUUCGUACAAGACACACACCAACAAAUUGCACAUACCUUCCCUCGGCCUUGCUCUUAUGCUGCUGGUCUGCUUGGCCUCUCAUACCAGUUCCUGCACGGAGCAGGAGAAGGGCUCCCUUCUCCAGUUCCUUGCCAAGCUCUCACAAGACGGUGGCCUCGCUGCAUCCUGGCGGAAUGGCACGAAUUGCUGCAAGUGGGAAGGGAUCACCUGCAGGGAAGAUGGGACGGUCACCGCUGUCUUGCUGCCUUCGAAGGGCCUCCACGGGCACAUCUCACAAUCCCUUGGAAACCUAACCGGGCUGCAGUACCUUGAUCUCUCUGACAACUUGUUGUCCGGUGGUCUGCCGGUGGAGUUGGUGUUCUCCAACAGCAUCACAACCCUUGAUGUCAGCUUUAACCGGCUCAAUAGCAUACUCGACGAGCUGCCAUCUUCAACCCCUGACCGGUCUAUGCAGGUACUGAACAUCUCAAGCAACUUAUUUGUGGGACAGUUUCCAUCCACCAUAUGGAAAGCAAUGGGGAAUCUGGUCGCACUCAAUGCCAGCAACAACAGCUUUACUGGGCAGAUACCAGCUUAUUUCUGUGAAACCUCACCAUUCUUCGCCGUGCUUGAUCUAUGCUUCAACAAAUUCAGUGGCAACAUCCCCCAAGGACUUUGUGAUUGCUCCAGGCUGAGAGAGCUCAGGGCCGGGAACAACAACCUCAGUGGAACACUCCCAGAUGAACUCUUCAACGCUACCUUGUUGGAGUACCUGUCUUUUCCUAACAAUGAUCUACAUGGAGCUCUUGAUGAUGUGCUCAUAAUCAACCUCAGAAAUAUCGUCACCCUAGAUCUUGGAGGGAACAAAUUCAGUGGCAGGAUUCCAGAUUCUAUAGGUCAGCUCAAGAAACUGGAGGAGUUCCAUUUGGACAACAACAUGAUGUUAGGGGAGUUGCCAUCAGCUCUGAGCAACUGCACGAAUCUCAGAACAAUUGAUAUCAAGACGAACAAAUUCAGUGGAGAACUCACCAAGGUCAAUUUCUCCAACCUUCCCUCUCUGAAAACAUUAGACCUUCUGAACAACAACUUCACUGGCACAGUUCCAGAAAGCAUUUACUCCUGCAGCAAUCUGACUGCACUGCGGCUAGAAGGCAACAAGUUACAUGGGCAGCUUUCACCACAAAUAAGCAAUCUGAAGUCCCUCUCCUUCCUAGCACUUGGUAAAAACAAUUUCACAAACAUCACAAAUACACUUCAGAUCCUUAAGAGCUGCAGGAACAUUACCACUCUUCUUAUCGGCGAUAACUUCAAGGGAGAGCUCAUGCCAGAGGAUGACAGCAAUGAUGGCUUUGAAAAUCUCCAGGUUUUGGACAUCAAAGAUUGCCAGUUGUCGGGAGAAAUACCUGUAUGGAUAUCAAGGCUCACACAUUUGAAGAUGUUACUUUUAAAUAGCAAUCAACUCACUGGGCCAAUACCAACCUGGAUCAGCUCCCUAAGAUAUCUCUUCUUUAUGGAUGUGUCAAAUAACAAUCUUAUAGGAGAGAUUCUGUUAACCUUCACGGAGAUGCCCAUGCUAACUGACAGCAAAACUCAUUUGGACCCAAGGGUCUUUGAGCUGCCUCUUUAUAAAGGUCCAUCACUUCAAUACCGUGUGGUUACAUCUUUCCCAAACACGUUAAAUCUAAGCAACAACAACUUCACAGGUGUGAUUCCCCCACAGAUUGGUCAGUUGGAAGUGCUUGGUGUACUUGAUUUCAGUUUCAAUAAGUUAUUCGGGCAGAUCCCCCAAUCGUUUUGCAACCUCACAAACUUGCAGGUGCUAGACUUGUCCAACAACAAUCUCACAGGUGAUAUCCCAGCUGCAUUGAAUAGCCUGCACUUCCUUUCAGCAUUCAGCAUUUCAAACAAUGACCUACAAGGGCCUAUUCCAUCUGGAGGCCAGUUUGAAACAUUUCAGAAUUCUAGUUUUGAUGGGAACCCAAAGCUGUGUGGCUCUAUUCUCAGUCACAAAUGUGUUUCUGUAAAAGCACAAGAAGCCAUCAUUCUGUCAAGAAAACAAACUGACUACAAGGUGGGCUUUGUGAUUGCCUUCAGUGCGUUCUUUGGUGUAGGGGUGUUGUAUGAUCAGUUAGUCUUAUCCAGGUAUUUUAGCUAGUCCUACUUGGGUUCACAUAUUGGUUUAUGAUAAUUUCGUUCAUAUUAGGCUGCUACUCAGGUUUAGCAACACGUCCAGCGAAUAAGCUUCUCCUCUAGGUGCAAGUCACAAUUAGGUAGUAGCAAUUAAAUAUUCUAGGGUGAAGAGUGAUUUCAAUAUGUGGAGAUGUUAAAGUAUGUAACAAUGUAAGAUAUUCUGUAGAAAACUGUCAUCUCAGCAUUCCAUAUAACACAAUUCAGCACAUCAGAGUAUGUACUCUUGAUGUUCUAAUAGCUUAAAUUUCGACAAUAAACACUGCUUAUAAUAUUUGAGAUCAUCAGCCGGGGAAAACAAUGGUACAGUGCCAGCCACUUUGCUGUUUCUCUUGCAUCAGUAAAGAAUAUCAGUAGGUACAUGUACAUGGGAUCGAUCACAAAUAAGUUACUGCAACUUCACUAGACAAUGAAUAGGAUCAAAACAACACCGAGCAAAAUUAUUUCCAAACAUAAGGAAUAGAGGAAGGAAAAGAACCUACGAUUUACCGAAGACAGAGCAGAGUUCAACCGCAAAAAGCUACAUUUGAAGGAGUCUACUUAAUUGUUAUCCUCUCUUUUCUCAGUAAUGGAGUGACUAGCUACCCACAACCUUUUAUUCUAGUUCCAUUCUUACUGGUUAAACUGAAGCAUUCUAGAUGUGUCAAGAACUCAUCUUGUUUGUGUUCACCUAGCUUUGCUUUUAACAAUUUACUUUGCUUUGGAGCAAUAUAAGACCACACGGUUGAGCCAUACUAAAUCCUUGGGUAUAAGCACUAACAUCAUUGAACGGCACACCUCCAAAAAUCCAUAACAAAAUGUUCUUACGAUAACAAGGAUGGUAGCUGCUAUGAAGACAAUCACUGGCAUUGAACAGAUUUUAUAAGCAGAGUGCAUCUCAAGGUAUUGAGUAAGAAGGACGCUGAUUUCGCACCCACCAUGUAUUAACAGCGAGUGUUUUCGAGCGAUGUACCUCUUGAGAGGAUG